GGCUCAGGAGGAUUCAUGGGGCUCAGGAGGAUUCAUGUGGCUUAUCACCACAUCCCCAUCCCUAUGUCCCCACUACCGAUGCUGGGACAGAAAUGUGGCACCUGGGUCAAAGUGUACAAAGUCCAUUCAGUCAAGAGAU